rnacentral:rRNA from 1 species
GUCCACACCGUAAACGAUGAUUACUAGGUGUGGGGACUGACCCCUUCCGUGCCGGAGUUAACACAAUAAGUAAUCCACCUGGGGAGUACGGCCGCAAGGUUGAAACUCAAAGGAAUUGACGGGGCCCGCACAAGCAGUGGAGUAUGUGGUUUAAUUCGACGCAACGCGAAGAACCUUACCAGGUCUUGACAUCGUAUGCAUAGUGUAGAGAUACACGAAGUCCUUCGGGACAUACAGACAGGUGGUGCAUGGUUGUCGU